GUUUAUUGUUAUUUAACACUAUAAGUCAAUAGGCAUUGGAAUGGGGUUUAAUAACAAACCAAAAAGUGCAAAUUUUAAUUAAUUUUUGGAUAGCGGCUUUAUUAGUUGGAACAUCGAAGAGUUACCCAUUUUUUUUCAGGCAAUUAAGCCCAGAAUUCUUAUUAAUUAUUGAUCUGCAAAUGGCCUGAACUAGUGUAACCUUUCAAGGCACGUAUCUUGACUGCGAAAAUAGCCAAGAAUAAACAAUGCAAACAAAUUACUUCGCGAUAACUUAUAAAUAAAGUGAUUCCCCAUUUCCAAUCUGUCGAUUGACUAUAAAACCACAAUCUUCGGCUCAACAAGUGCAUUGAGUGAUAGUUGGUCAAACAGUGUUAUUCACAAUGAAACUGCUGUUUAUUCUCUUGGUGAUUUUUGUCGCCCUCAAUGGACUUUUGGCCAGCCCAUCGCGGGAUAGCCCUAGCGGUGGAACUAGGGGCGGUAGCAGUGGAGCGAAUGGAGGCAGAGGAGGAGAUGGGAGAAAUCGUGGAGGCGCUGAGCAUGGCGGGCACGGGCCUGGGGAUAGAAGCGGGCACAGUCGAGUCGCCUGAUUUAUAACUGUAUCUCUUAUGUUGAAUACAAUGUGGAAAUUUUUAACGUA